rnacentral:rRNA from 1 species
AUUGAACGCUGGCGGCAUGCCUUACACAUGCAAGUCGAACGGCAGCACGGGUGCUUGCACCUGGUGGCGAGUGGCGAACGGGUGAGUAAUACAUCGGAACAUGUCCUGUAGUGGGGGAUAGCCCGGCGAAAGCCGGAUUAAUACCGCAUACGAUCUACGGAUGAAAGCGGGGGACCUUCGGGCCUCGCGCUAUAGGGUUGGCCGAUGGCUGAUUAGCUAGUUGGUGGGGUAAAGGCCUACCAAGGCGACGAUCAGUAGCUGGUCUGAGAGGACGACCAGCCACACUGGGACUGAGACACGGCCCAGACUCCUACGGGAGGCAGCAGUGGGGAAUUUUGGACAAAGGGCGAAAGCCUGAUCCAGCAAUGCCGCGUGAGUGAAGAAGGCCUUCGGGUUGUAAAGCACUUUUGUCAGGAAAGAAAUCCUGGGCACUAAUACAGGCGGGGGAUGACGGUACCGGAAGAAUAAGCACCGGCUAACUACGUG